AUGGGGCCUACAAAGCGCCACACCACGCGUCUCCAUCCCCAAAUCAAAGCCACUGAGGAUGGUGUUGGAGUGGUCAACCACCGUCGUAGCAGUAAGCGCCGCAGCAUCCGGAUCCAGGCGAGUGAGGGGAGCGACCAAGUGACUCACGCGAGCGAGAAGGGAGACGGCAUGUCCCGCCGCCACCGCGGUAUCUCGUCAGAGCCGCCUGCCUCCGUGAUUGAAGAUGAAAAUUUCCUUCGGGAGAUCCUGCUCCGCCUCCCCCCGGACCUACACUCACUCUCCUGCGCAUCCGCCGUCUGCAUGCGGUGGCAAGACAUUGUCGUCAAUCACAAGUUUGUCCGGGGGUUCUAUGCACUCCACCGCAAGCUGCCCCUCCUCGGCUUCUUCCCCCGUGACGAACGUAUCAUGUUCGCCCCCGUCCAGGUCCCCACUCCCAACCGCAUCCUCCCUGGGAGUUUCUCCUUAAACGACACUACAAGAACUCCUAGGUUAGCAAGGCGCUGGAUUCCCUCCACGGCAGCGUCCUCCUCACCCACUGGGUCAUCGUUAACGGUUGGAAGCUAUAAGCAUCCAUGCGCCUGCGAUUAUUCCUCCGAGACUGACACAUGGGGCAAUAUCAUCUCAACAGAGGCUCCAGAUGAUACUCCUUUUGGUGUUUGUCCUAGGACCCUUAUAGGUAAUGCCCUUUACUGGUCGGCUAAGCAUAAGGGAGACUCCAUUCCUCAGUUUGAUUUGGGCAUGCAGAACCUAGCCAUUAUCAAGGGGCCUCCUGGCAUGAACAUGGAUGAUUUCGACAACUUUCAUAUCAUUCAUGCAAAGGAUGGCAUUGUUGGUCUUGUUGCAUUGUCUCACCUUGAGCAUCAAAUGUGGGAGAGGAAGGUUGAUUCUCAAGGUGGACCAACGGCAGCACCAGCGGGAGGCAGGAGACGAGGCGGACCAACUGCGGCACCGGAGACAAGGCGGACCAACGGCGGCACCGGUGGGAGGCAGGAUAACCCUAGACUUUUCUUGGGGAGGAGGCAUGUGGACUUUAAUCUAUUGAGUCAAAGGUGGAGAUUGUUUAAUGCCUCGACUACUCCAUCGGCCUCACCUUAUAAAGGGACCAGAUCUAGGGUUAUAGAAUUGCCUAACUGA
rnacentral:rRNA from 1 species